rnacentral:rRNA from 1 species
CACGAACGCUGGCGGCAGGCUUAACACAUGCAAGUCGAACGCCCCGCAAGGGGAGUGGCAGACGGGUGAGUAACGCGUGGGAACAUACCCUUUUCUACGGAAUAGCUCUGGGAAACUGGAAUUAAUACCGUAUACGCCCUACGGGGGAAAGAUUUAUCGGGGAAGGAUUGGCCCGCGUUGGAUUAGCUAGUUGGUGGGGUAAAGGCCUACCAAGGCGACGAUCCAUAGCUGGUCUGAGAGGAUGAUCAGCCACAUUGGGACUGAGACACGGCCCAAACUCCUACGGGAGGCAGCAGUGGGGAAUAUUGGACAAUGGGCGCAAGCCUGAUCCAGCCAUGCCGCGUGAGUGAUGAAGGCCUUAGGGUUGUAAAGCUCUUUCACCGAUGAAGAUAAUGACGGUAGUCGGAGAAGAAGCCCCGGCUAACUUCGUG